rnacentral:rRNA from 1 species
ACGUAUGGGGCAAGCGUUAUCCGGAUUCAUUGGGCGUAAAGAGCGCGUAGGCGGAUUGUUAAGUCAGAUGUGAAAACCGGGGGCUCAACCCGCGGCCUGCAUCUGAAACUGGCAGUCUUGAGUCUGGUAGAGGAGUGUGGAAUUCCCAGUGAAGCGGUGAAAUGCGCAGAUAUUGGGAGGAACACCAGUGGCGAAGGCGGCACUCUGGGCCACGACUGACGCUGAGGCGCGAAAGCUAGGGGAGCAAACAGGAUUAGAUACCCUGGUAGUCCUAGCCGUAAACGAUGGGCACUAGGUGUGGGGGGUCAUCAACUCCCUCCGUGCCGCAGCUAACGCAUUAAGUGCCCCGCCUGGGGAGUACGGCCGCAAGGCUA